rnacentral:tRNA from 1 species
GGAGAGAUGGCUCAGAGGUUAGAGCAUUGGGUGCUCUUCCAGACGUCCUGAGUUCAAAUCUCAGCCACCACA